ACAUCGACGGCGGUGUUUGGCACCUCGAUGUCGGCUCAUCACAUCCUGGGGCUGAAGUCGGUCCCAAGGGUAUGGCUGUUCGCCAUUUAAAGUGGUACGCGAGCUGGGUUUAGAACGUCGUGAGACAGUUCGGUCCCUAUCUGCCGUGGGCGUUGGAGAUUUGAGAAGGGCUGCUCCUAGUACGAGAGGACCGGAGUGGACGCACCUCUGGUGUUCCGGUUGUCACGCCAGUGGCAUUGCCGGGUAGCUAUGUGCGGACGGGAUAACCGCUGAAAGCAUCUAAGCGGGAAGCCCCCUUCAAGAUGAGAUCUCCCCGAGGCCUCGAGCCUCCUGAAGGGCCCAGCGAGACCAGCUGGUUGAUAGGCACGGUGUGGAAGCGCUGCAAGGCGUUGAGCUAACGUGUACUAAUGGCCCGUGAGGCUUGACCAUAUAACACCCAAAGGGU
rnacentral:rRNA from 1 species